UAGGGUAUCUUCGGCAAUGGGGGCAACCCUGACCGAGCAACGCCGCGUGAGUGAAGAAGGUUUUCGGAUCGUAAAGCUCUGUUGUAAGAGAAGAACGUGUGUGAGAGUGGAAAGUUCACACAGUGACGGUAACUUACCAGAAAGGGACGGCUAACUACGUGCCAGCAGCCGCGGUAAUACGUAGGUCCCGAGCGUUGUCCGGAUUGAUUGGGCGUAAAGCGAGCGCAGGCGGUUUAAUAAGUCUGAAGUUAAAGGCAGUGGCUUAACCAUUGUUCGCUUUGGAAACUGUUAAUCUUGAGUGCAGAAGGGGAGAGUGGAAUUCCAUGUGUAGCGGUGAAAUGCGUAGAUAUAUGGAGGAACACCGGUGGCGAAAGCGGCUCUCUGGUCUGUAACUGACGCUGAGGCUCGAAAGCGUGGGGAGCAAACAGG
rnacentral:rRNA from 1 species